rnacentral:rRNA from 1 species
AAGUUACUUGGCGUAGACCCGAAACCGGGUGACCUAUCCAUGAGCAGGUUGAAGCGAAAGUAAAAUUUCGUGGAGGACCGAACCCACGAGCGUUGAAAAGCUCGGGGAUGACUUGUGGAUAGCGGUGAAAUUCCAAUCGAGCCCGGAGAUAGCUGGUUCUCCCCGAAAUAGCUUUAGGGCUAGCCUCAAGCGUAGAGAAACGGAGGUAGAGCACUGAAUGUCCUAGGGGGUAUUGCACUUACCGAAGACUAUCAAACUCCGAAUGCCGUUUUCUUUUACUUGGGAGUCAGACUGUGGGUGAUAAGAUUCAUAGUCAAAAGGGCAACAGCCCAGAUCGUCAGCUAAGGUCCCUAAAUGUACGUUAAGUGGUAAAGGAUGUGGGAUUGCACAGACAACCAGGAUGUUGGCUUAGAAGCAGCCACUCAUUUAAAGAGUGCGUAAUAGCUCACUGGUCGAGUGAUCCUGCGCCGAAAAUUUCCGGGGCUAAAACGUACUACCGAAGCUACGGCAUCAUUUAUGAUGGGUAGGGGAGCUUCGUAUGCAGGCUGAAGCAUGACCGUAAGGACAUGUGGACAGUAUACGAGUGAGAAUGUUGGCAUGAGUAGCGAGACGUGGGUGAGAAUCCCACGGGCCGUAAACCCAAGGUUUCCAGGGGAAGGUUCGUCCGCCCUGGGUUAGUCGGGACCUAAGCCGAGGCCGAAAGGCGUAGGUGAUGGACAACAGGUUGAUAUUCCUGUACCGCCAAUAAGCGUUUGAGAGAUGGAGUGACACAGUAGGAUAAGCUAACCGUACUGUUGGUUAUGUACGGCUAAGCAUUGAGGCAGUCUAAAUAGGCAAAUCCGUUUAGACAAUGCUAGGAUGUGAUGGGGAAGCCCUUCGGGGCGAAGUAGCUGAUUUCACACUGUCAAGAAAAGCUUCUAUCGAGUUUAAAGGCGCCCGUACCGUAAACCGACACAGGUGGGUGAGGAGAGUAUCCUAAGGCCAGCGAGAGAACUAUUGUUAAGGAACUCGGCAAAAUGACCCCGUAACUUAGGGAGAAGGGGUGCCUGUCUAUGACAGGCCGCAGAGAAUAGGCCCAAGCGACUGUUUACCAAAAACACAGGUUUCUGCUAAGUCGCAAGACGAUGUAUAGGAGCUGACGCCUGCCCGGUGCUGGAAGGUUAAGGGGAUCUGUUAGAGCAAUCGAAGCAGUGAACUUAAGCCCCAGUAAACGGCGGCCGUAACUAUAACGGUCCUAAGGUAGCGAAAUUCCUUGUCGGGUAAGUUCCGACCCGCACGAAAGGCGUAACGAUUUGGGCACUGUCUCAACAAUAGACUCGGUGAAAUUGUAAUCCCGGUGAAGAUGCCGGGUACCUGCGACAGGACGGAAAGACCCCAUGGAGCUUUACUGUAGCUUGACGUUGGGUCUUGGUACUACAUGUACAGGAUAGGUGGGAGACUAUGAAGCAUGGACGCCAGUCUGUGUGGAGUCAUCCUUGGGAUACCACCCUUGUAGUACUGGGAUCCUAACCAUAGGCCUUGAAUCAGGUCUUGGAACACCGUCAGGUGGGCAGUUUGACUGGGGCGGUCGCCUCCUAAAAAGUAACGGAGGCGCUCAAAGGUUUCCUCAGCACGGUCGGAAAUCGUGCGAAGAGUGUAAAGGCAAAAGGAAGCUUGAUUGCAAGACAUACAGGUCGAGCAAGGACGAAAGUCGGACUUAGUGAUCCGGUGGUACCGCAUGGAAGGGCCAUCGCUCAACGGAUAAAAGCUACCCUGGGGAUAACAGGCUUAUCUCCCCCAAGAGUCCACAUCGACGGGGAGGUUUGGCAC